ACAUAGCAAUUCUGAACGGAGAUUAGAAGGAAGCUUGCGAAUUCUAAACUUAGUGGCGCACGGGUGAGUAACGCGUGGAUAACCUGCCUGGUAGACCGGGAUAACAGCUGGAAACGGCUGCUAAUACCGGAUACGCUUAAGGGAACGCAUGUUCUUUUAAGGAAAGCAAUCGUGCUAUCAGAUGGAUCCGCGUCCCAUUAGCUAGUUGGUGGUGUAAGGGACCACCAAGGCGACGAUGGGUAGCCGGCCUGAGAGGGCGACCGGCCACACUGGGACUGAGACACGGCCCAGACUCCUACGGGAGGCAGCAGUGGGGAAUCUUCCGCAAUGGGCGAAAGCCUGACGGAGCAACGCCGCGUGAGGGAAGAAGGCCUUCGGGUUGUAAACCUCUGUCAUCAAGGAAGAACAGAUGACGGUACUUGGAGAGGAAGCCCCGGCUAACUACGUGCCAGCAGUCGCGGUAAAACGUAGGGGGCGAGCGUUGUCCGGAAUUACUGGGCGUAAAGGGCGCGUAGGUGGUCCAUUAAGUUAGAGGUGAAAGAUCGGGGCUCAACCCCGAGAUUGCCUCUGAUACUGGUGGACUUGAGUGCAGGAGAGGGGAGCGGAAUUCCCAGUGUAUCGUUGAAAUGCUUAUAUAUUGGGAGGAACACCAGUGGCG
rnacentral:rRNA from 1 species